rnacentral:rRNA from 1 species
UGAGUCUGGACUCUUCGGUACACCAAAGCGUGCUGGUAGUCCGUCCCAAUUGUCUGCAGUUGUUGAGGGUUGGCGAGCCAAGAACUCCUAUCUCACUCUCUAGUCAAACCAGGGUAGCGUAUCAUUUGGAUCGUGAGCAGUUACGUCUGGUAAAGAGAAUGAGUAGAGUUAGCUCGUUGCUUCUUAUAGCAACAGCAGCGGGGCGUUCUACGCCUCACACUAUUAUCAAACUUUAAAUGGGCGAGGUACUCGGUAUUUUCUUAAUUGCUUGAUACCGGGGCGAAACACGUCGUGAUUUUAUCGUUGGGACGAAGGUGAAUGCGUGCGCGCAAAGUGGGUCCUUUCUGGUAAGCAGAACUGAUAAUGAGGGAUGAACCUAACGUAUGUGCUAAGGGGCCAAAGAGACAGCUAUUUCUCGAAACCAUUGGAAAGGUGUUGCUUGCUGAAGACAGCAGGACGGUGGUCAUGGAAGUCGAUAUCCGCUAAGGAGUGUGUAACUACUCAUCCUGCCGAAGCGAGUAACCCUGAAAAUGGAUGGCUCUAUAGCUCUCUCCCGAUGCACAACCGUCAGUAGCACUUGAGUCACCUCGUGUCUCUACGCUCUGACGAGUAAAAUGGCUAUGCUGCACUGCUU